GGUGGCUCAGUGGUAGAGUGCUUGCCUUGCAUGCAUGAGACCCUGGGUUCUAUCCUCAGCACCA
rnacentral:tRNA from 1 species